AUUGAACGCUGGCGGCAGGCCUAACACAUGCAAGUCGAACGAGUGGCGGACGGGUGAGUAAUGUCUGGGAAACUGCCUGAUGUAAGGGGAUAACUACUGGAAACGGUAGCUAAUACCGCAUACCAUCAGAUGUGCCCAGAUGGGAUUAGCUUGUUGGGGGGGUAACGGAUCACCAAGGCGACGAUCCCUAGCUGGUCUGAGAGGAUGACCAGCCACACUGGAACUGAGACACGGUCCGGACUCAUACGGGAGGCAGCAGUGGGGAAUAUUGCACAAUGGGAGCGAGCCUGAUGCAGACAUGCCGCGUGUCUUAAGAAGGCCUUCCGGUUGGAAAGUACUUUCAGCGGGGAGGCGUUACCCGCAGAAGAAGCACCGGCUAACUCCGUGCCAGCAGCCGCGGUAAUUC
rnacentral:rRNA from 1 species